rnacentral:lncRNA from 10 species
GUAAAUCCCAUGAUGUAAACCUACCUCAUAAGUCAUGUGACAUAAAAGUUAAGGUAGUGGAGUAGGUGGUCUUAUUUCUUUCACCUGCUCAGAGUGGACUGAAAAUCCUGACUUAGAAAAGGUACAAAGUUAGGGGACUUAUGGUACCUUCACUUUUUAUGUGAGAAUAGAAAUUAUGGAAACAGUAAUUUGCUCAAAACUGAAAUCUGGGGUGAUGUUUUCAUUUCAUGUAUUUGAUUGCCAUCCAUAAACUCAUACUUGGUGUUGACAUUCUAGCUGAGUGUUGUGGAAAUAGACUUGAUUUUGAUUCAUCGUAGCUUGCAUGGUCAAGAGACAUGAUUCUCUACUAAGGGUGGGGCUAGCACCAUAGCUCAUAAAAGAAUCCUUCUUACACCAGUACUUGUUCUGCCUGUGAGUUGGCACAGACUUACCUAAUAACCAUAGUGUCUUUAAGUACAACUUAAUACAUAUUUUUUCUGUGUAUUUUUUUCAAAUGAACUCAACAAUUCUUCAGGUAUUAUAGAUCAGAGAUCCUCUCCAUAUUCAAGCAUUAUGCUUCUCUUUCUUGGGGGUACAUUUCACUAGUAAUACUUAGGAAGUUAUUUUGUCUUUCCUGUAUUUCCCUAGUUAAGUAUAGGGGUAAAAACGUUAUUCAGCUUUCAGAAGACAUUGUUCUGACUCCGACCCUGCCGUGUAUACUCAACUAUAUAGACUUCACCCUGGGUUUUGCCUAAACUGUUGAAAGACGAGAAUAAAUAGACAUAGACAGGCUAGCUAAGUCAAGACUAGGGGCUAAGGAAUAUAGAAUCACCCAGGUCUUUUUUUUUUUUUUUAAUUUUUCUCUCCUCAGUUGGGAACAUCUAUCAUGCUGGAGGACUACUGUGAUGGGGCUUUACAUUUUACUGUUUUGUUGCUAGCUUAUUGUUUCAUACUUGGGAAUCAGUCAUGUUUCUGAUUGUGGUAUAAAGUUUGCUUAAGUGCCCCUUAGUUAAAGCUGUUCAAUGAAUGUAAGCACACACACACCUACACACAUAUUUUGAAUAGUCGUGUGUUCAUGCCUGUUCUCAGUCUUGUCCCCUUUACCGUUUCUCAUGCAGGUUAUUUCUUGCUUUUUUUUUUUUUCCUCUUUUUUAACCGGAGAAGCAACAAAUUACGUAGUUUUUUUUGUGUUUCUUUGAUUACUAGUGAGCUUGAGUACUUUUAAUAUUUUAUUGGAUAUGUUUGUGACUGACUUUAAUUUCUUGUUUGUGUGUGCUGUGGCUGCCCGAUCCAGCACCUACUUCCUUCUCCCACCAUACCACCCCCACCCCCACCCCUGCAAACAAUUGGCAUGUGGUUUGGGUGGCAUUGUCACACCCUCGGCUUUCUAGAUUAACCCAGUUACCUUUUAGCAGUGCCCCACUUCCCCAGUAGCAAUGGUUCAGGGGUAGGCACCUGACCCAGACCAGACUACUGAGAUAAAGAUGUUUGCCUAGGCUUUUUCAGGAGCAAUUGAAGACAUCUUGUUGGAGAUAGUGUGCUGGGAGGAGUCACAUUCUGAACUUGCUGCAGCUCGUUUUUCUAAUAUAAAGGAACCAGCCUGAGGCAGUACCAGGGUGAGAGGGAGUCUAUUGGAGCCCUUGGGAACUUCUGGAUCAAAUUGGACCUGAAUUGAGAUCUAUUUCUCAGCUUUCACUUAUGUGAGCCAA